GAGACCCAGGAUCUCACCAGAGCACAGGUAGCCAGAGGGGCUGGCUCGCUUUCCCACAGUGUCCCAGGCGCUGUUGAUUUUGAACCCUGAUAAGGUCUGGAAGUAACAUUGCAAAUCCCUGUGAGUUUUUGAGGAGGAAUAAAAGUUCCCAGUUUUCUGCACUGAAAUGGGAAAGUCUGUUCUGCCCAAACCCAGGAACCAGGACUACCCGUAAGGUCCUUGAUCAUCUUUAGUGAAAACACGGGAUCCCCGAAGCAGCCUACACCUGGACCUCACCGGUGGCCAGGAGUGGAAGCGCCUCUGUGCUAACCCAUGUGUCAGGGCCUAUGAAGACAGACUGCAGGUGGGAGGCCUUGCUCUCCCUCCCCCUCCCACCACUGGCAGGACACAGAUACAGCCAUGAGCAUCUUGUCAUCGGCUGCUCUGCGCAAAACAGUUCACAGAAAUGAAAGGUUGUCAGACAAGAGAGGAGAAAAAAUGGACACUGAAGAGAAGAAGACGGCGAAACAAGAGAUGAGGCUGAUGUGCAUUCUCCUGCAAUUUCUCUGUCAUGCAAAGAAAGGCCUAAGAUGCCAUUAGUGUGGUA